UGUCUUGUAAAUGGAAUGAUGGUGACUUAAACCCUCACCAGAGUACCAAUUGGAGGGCAAGUCUGGUGCCAGCAGCCGCGGUAAUUCCAGCUCCAAUAGCGUAUAUUAAACUUGUUGCAGUUAAAAAGCUCGUAGUUGAAUUUCAGCGUUUCGCGUGUGCCUCUUUUGGCCCAUCUCGUCUCGCUUUUUUUAUUACUUUGAGAAAAUUAGAGUGUUUCAAGCAGGCUUUUGUCUUGAAUACUUGAGCAUGGAAUAAUAGAGUAGGACCUUGGUUCUAUUUUGUUGGUUUUGUUACCUUGGUAAUGGUUAAUAGGAACGGUUGGGGGCAUUCGUAUUUAACUGUCAGAGGUGAAAUUCUUAGAUUUGUUAAAGACGAACUACUGCGAAAGCAUUUGCCAAGGACGUUUCCAUUAAUCAAGAACGAAAGUUAGGGGAUCGAAGACGAUCAGAUACCGUCGUAGUCCUAACCAUAAACUAUGCCGACUAGGGAUUGGAGGUCGUCAUUUUUCCGACUCCUUCAGCACCUUGAGAGAAAUCAAGGUCUUUGG
rnacentral:rRNA from 1 species